GAGGCUCGUAGACGUGUCCGGGUAGUUCGUUCUUAAAGGGACCGGCACUCUACCUGGCGAAGCCGUCCACCAUUGGAGGCGGAGGAGCUUGGGACUCAGAGAGUUUGGGCCGCCCAGCCCGAAGAUCAGCGCUCAUGGCCCCGGAGGCCCCGACUCUGGUGGCUGCGGCGGCUGCGAGGAUUCUCCGAGGGGCCCCUUGACGCAGCUACACGGGGUGAGCGCAGCGCGCCCCCCCACCCGCCGGUCCAGGGUCCGGCGCCAUGCCCCGUCCCAACCCCAGCACUUCACUUAGCCGCCCCAAGAGCCUGCCAUCUGCACCCCAUGCAAAACGUUGGCGGCGGCGUACCCCGUGGGACCCCGCCGGGCCAGGGAAGCCGGCAGCCGCCUUCAUUUUUGUCAAAAUGACGCCGGUGUGUCCUGCCAACCGUGUCCGGACUUUGGACAGGAAGGCGACUCAGGUCAGCUCUAGUCUGGACAAAGUUUAAUCUCUCCCACGCAAGACAGCAUCGAUCGGGUCUGCUCUGCCCAACGGACGAUUCCAGGGGUUUACUCACUUUUACCUGAGCUACCUAGGCAGAACUGUCUUAAACUCCAUUAUCUAUCUCUUAGUUUCCUAAAUGCAAAAUCAGGCUCAUGUGGACCUGGGCUCGGCGCGUGCUCUUCUCCGCUGAGAAGGGGAGCUAAAAGAAGAACUUGUCUUCUAAAUUUAGGACUCUAUCUUUAGGUUUGUUUAAUAAAGCACGGAAGACUCAAUUUGUUCGUGGAAGAGGGUUUUAGCUGACACAGGUGUUAAGAAUAACCGUCUCAUAAAUCUUCCUUGUCAGCAUAAUCAUUCUCACCAUAGUCGACCUUCCAACUCAAGUCCAAAAGCUCAAAAACCAGAUACUUCUUCCUCAGCAAAUCACCCAAGAGAUCACUCAAGAGAUGAACAGAAUCAUAAAUCCUUAGGAAAUUUUCUAAUGGAAGCUCUUGCAGCAACAAAACUGUUGUGCAAAAAAGAAUCCAAAAAUGAACCCCCGUUCACAUCACGUGAUUAUCAGGAUCAAAACGCGGCCUAGUUUUUCGGAGCUCAAAGGGUUAUCUCUCCGUUUACCACAUCAGCCAAAGGAGUUUCAGGAACUGCCAGUACCAGAGAGGAGCCGACAUUGCUUAAUAAUUCUCCAUUUUUAAGGUAAUGUCAACUCUCUGGAAGCUAGCAAAGAAAUAAGGUUAGGAGGCCUGGGACAGCAAAACAAGCUAACUCCUUCCUUCAAGAUC